AUUGAACGCUGGCGGCAGGCCUAACACAUGCAAGUCGAGCGGAUGAAGGGAGCUUGCUCCUGGAUUCAGCGGCGGACGGGUGAGUAAUGCCUAGGAAUCUGCCUGGUAGUGGGGGAUAACGUCCGGAAACGGGCGCUAAUACCGCAUACGUCCUGAGGGAGAAAGUGGGGGAUCUUCGGACCUCACGCUAUCAGAUGAGCCUAGGUCGGAUUAGCUAGUUGGUGGGGUAAAGGCCUACCAAGGCGACGAUCCGUAACUGGUCUGAGAGGAUGAUCAGUCAACCCGGAAACUGAGAACCGUUCCGGAUCCCUACGGGAGGCAGCAGUGGGAAUAUUGGACAAUGGGCGAAAGCCUGAUCCAGCCAUGCCGCGUGUGUGAAGAAGGUCUUCGGAUUGUAAAGCACUUUAAGUUGGGAGGAAGGGCAGUAAGUUAAUACCUUGCUGUUUUGACGUUACCAACAGAAUAAGCACCGGCUAACUUCGUG
rnacentral:rRNA from 1 species